rnacentral:misc_RNA from 1 species
AGAAAGCAUUUCUAAGAUGUGAAUACUGCCAGAAAAAAUAGCUAAAUAUGUAAAUAGAUAAUUUUUCAAGGAAACAAGACAGGUUUCUUUUUCCAAAUAACCAACCAAUAAUCAAAUUUGAAUAUAUUAUAACUGGAUGUGAUUUCCAAGAGUGCCUACACAUGCCAAGAUACGAGCCUUAUUCGUCAUGAAUAUUGCAACUUGGCA